AUUUAGCACAUCAGUCAAAUUCCCGAUACGAUUGUUCAAUAUUGUAUUGGAGCCGUUAUUGUGCUUAUAUGAAACGUUUAAACUGAAUGGAUACAA
rnacentral:ncRNA from 1 species